GCAGACAAGCCCAACACAUGCCUGCCAGUCCAAUGGUGGGUAGAAGUGCUUUGUUUGUUGUUUUGGUUGCCGUUUUUUUUGGUUUUUCUGUGUGUGGGGGGGGGGGAGGGGGAAUGUCAUGUUUCCGAAAGAAGUGUAGUAUUUUGGAGAGAAAAUGUUUUGUUUUCGUUUGAAAGGUGGUAUUUUGUGGGAGAUGAUGCUUAACUGCGGGGCGAAAAGUAGGAUCUGGGGGAGAAAAUCCAUUUCUGGGUCGGAAAGAAUAGGACAUUUUCUCCCCCAAGUACCCCUUGUCUCACCGAAACAAGACUCUUUCAC
ensembl:lncRNA